AAAUCGGCCCUUUUCAGGGCCAACCUAUAUAUUAAGAAGAGUAUAGG
rfam:Ciona intestinalis ciona2159, whole genome shotgun sequence.